AUGGAGAUGAAACCCAAAAGAUUUUCGUUGGGGCGUAACCCUCUCAGCGACGCGCCACAUCGGAACCCGGGUGUGGUGGAAAAUGGGCAAGGGCCGGGCCGUCACCCCCCAGGUGGCGCGCCGUAUCUUGAUCCGGAUACGGUGGCAAGUAAGCGAGGAUCGGGUCGUCGCAUCCUUAGUGGCGCGCUACAUCGGCGCCCGGAUGUAGUGGAAAAUGAGCAAGGGUCUUCGCAUUUGACUCGACGAGUGCGAAGGGUAAGGAAGCUAGCCGAGCCUAGGAGGAUUCGCUUAGGUAGCUGGAACGUAGGGUCUCUGACAGGGAAGCUUCGGGAGCUAGUUGAUGCAGCGGUGAGGAGAGGUGUUGAUAUCCUUUGCGUCCAAGAAACCAAAUGGAGAGGACAGAAGGCGAAGGAGGUGGAGGAUGCCGGCUUCAAGCUAUGGUACACGGGGACGGCUACAAACAGAAAUGGCGUAGGCAUCUUGAUCAACAAGAGCCUCAAGUAUGGAGUGGUAGAUGUCAAGAGACGUGGGGACCGGAUUAUCCUGGUCAAGCUGGUAGUUGAGGACUUGGUUCUCAAUGUUAUCAGCGCGUAUGCCCUGCAAGUAGGCCACAAUGAGAACACCAAGAGGGAGUUCUGGGAAGGCCCGGAAGACAUGGUUAGGAGUGUACCGAUUGGUGAGAAGCUCUUCAUAGGAGGAGACCUCAAUGGCCACGUGGGUACAUCUAACACAGGUUUUGAAGGGGCGCAUGGGGGCUUUGGCUAUGGCAUCAGGAAUCAAGAAGGAGAAGAUGUCUUAAGCUUUGCUCUAGCCUACAACAUGAUUGUAGCCAACACCCUCUUUAGAAAGAGAGAAUCACAUCUGGUGACUUUUAGUAGUGGCCAACACUCUAGCCAGAUUGAUUUCAUCCUCUCGAGAAGGGAAGAUAGGCGUGCGUGCCUAGACUGUAAGGUGAUACCUGGAGAGUGUUCUACCCCAGCAUAA
rnacentral:rRNA from 1 species